rnacentral:rRNA from 1 species
AUUGAACGCUGGCGGCAGGCCUAACACAUGCAAGUCGAGCGGAUGAAGGGAGCUUGCUCCUGGAUUCAGCGGCGGACGGGUGAGUAAUGCCUAGGAAUCUGCCUGGUAGUGGGGGAUAACGUCCGGAAACGGGCGCUAAUACCGCAUACGUCCUGAGGGAGAAAGUGGGGGAUCUUCGGACCUCACGCUAUCAGAUGAGCCUAGGUCGGAUUAGCUAGUUGGUGGGGUAAAGGCCUACCAAGGCGACGAUCCGUAACUGGUCUGAGAGGAUGAUCAGUCACACUGGAACUGAGACACGGUCCAGACUCCUACGGGAGGCAGCAGUGGGGAAUAUUGGACAAUGGGCGAAAGCCUGAUCCAGCCAUGCCGCGUGUGUGAAGAAGGUCUUCGGAUUGUAAAGCACUUUAAGUUGGGAGGAAGGGCAGUAAGUUAAUACCUUG